rnacentral:rRNA from 1 species
UACGGAGUGUGCAAGCGUUCCUCGGAAUCACUGGGCAGAAAGCGCGCGUAGGCGGGGUUCCAAGUCGGUUGUGAAAUCCCUCAGCUCAACUGAGGAACUGCAUCCGAUACUGUUUGUCUUGAGGACGAGAGGGGAGAGUGGAACUUCUGGUGAAGCGGUGAAAUGCGUAGAUAUCAGAAGGAACGCCGGUGGCGAAAGCGACUCUCUGGCUCGUAUCUGACGCUGAGGCGCGAAAGCGUGGGGAGCGAACAGG